rnacentral:siRNA from 1 species
GUGCGGUUCAACUGCGGAUA